rnacentral:rRNA from 1 species
AACGCUAGCUACAGGCUUAACACAUGCAAGUCGAGGGGCAUCAGGAAGAAAGCUUGCUUUCUUUGCUGGCGACCGGCGCACGGGUGAGUAACACGUAUCCAACCUGCCCUUUACUCGGGGAUAGCCUUUCGAAAGAAAGAUUAAUACCCGAUAGCAUAAUGAUUCCGCAUGGUUUCAUUAUUAAAGGAUUCCGGUAAAGGAUGGGGAUGCGUUCCAUUAGGUUGUUGGUGAGGUAACGGCCCACCAAGCCUUCGAUGGAUAGGGGUUCUGAGAGGAAGGUCCCCCACAUUGGAACUGAGACACGGUCCAAACUCCUACGGGAGGCAGCAGUGAGGAAUAUUGGUCAAUGGGCGCUAGCCUGAACCAGCCAAGUAGCGUGAAGGAUGAAGGCUCUAUGGGUCGUAAACUUCUUUUAUAUAAGAAUAAAGUGCAGUAUGUAUACUGUUUUGUAUGUAUUAUAUGAAUAAGGAUCGGCUAACUCCGUGCCAGCAGCCGCGGUAAUACGGAGGAUCCGAGCGUUAUCCGGAUUUAUUGGGUUUAAAGGGAGCGUAGGUGGACUGGUAAGUCAGUUGUGAAAGUUUGCGGCUCAACCGUAAAAUUGCAGUUGAUACUGUCAGUCUUGAGUACAGUAGAGGUGGGCGGAAUUCGUGGUGUAGCGGUGAAAUGCUUAGAUAUCACGAAGAACUCCGAUUGCGAAGGCAGCUCACUGGACUGCAACUGACACUGAUGCUCGAAAGUGUGGGUAUCAAACAGGAUUAGAUACCCUGGUAGUCCACACAGUAAACGAUGAAUACUCGCUGUUUGCGAUAUACAGUAAGCGGCCAAGCGAAAGCAUUAAGUAUUCCACCUGGGGAGUACGCCGGCAACGGUGAAACUCAAAGGAAUUGACGGGGGCCCGCACAAGCGGAGGAACAUGUGGUUUAAUUCGAUGAUACGCGAGGAACCUUACCCGGGCUUAAAUUGCAGUGGAAUGAUGUGGAAACAUGUCAGUGAGCAAUCACCGCUGUGAAGGUGCUGCAUGGUUGUCGUCAGCUCGUGCCGUGAGGUGUCGGCUUAAGUGCCAUAACGAGCGCAACCCUUAUCUUUAGUUACUAACAGGUUAUGCUGAGGACUCUGGAGAGACUGCCGUCGUAAGAUGUGAGGAAGGUGGGGAUGACGUCAAAUCAGCACGGCCCUUACGUCCGGGGCUACACACGUGUUACAAUGGGGGGUACAGAAGGCAGCUACCUGGUGACAGGAUGCUAAUCCCAAAAGCCUCUCUCAGUUCGGAUCGAAGUCUGCAACCCGACUUCGUGAAGCUGGAUUCGCUAGUAAUCGCGCAUCAGCCACGGCGCGGUGAAUACGUUCCCGGGCCUUGUACACACCGCCCGUCAAGCCAUGGGAGCCGGGGGUACCUGAAGUACGUAACCGCAAGGAUCGUCCUAGGGUAAAACUGGUGACUGGGGCUAA